GUUGAUUUCCCGGGCUUUUGAGUGGUUUGAUCUGGUGAGGACAAGGGCAGAAGCAGGUGCAGGGUCUGGUCAUAUCGGAGGCAGACAACAAUAGGGGUGACGCGCGUUACCAGAAAGAUACCUGGUGGUGAUGUUUCCUGAGAACAUCCAGCCUUAGGGAAAACGCUAAAGAAUGGAUAUUGUAUGAAAGGUUUCAGUUGGCUUCUUACAUUUGCUUUCUUGAAGAUUGAAUGGAUCCAGUCACCUCGUUCACAACAUCAUAUGCUUAUAUUCUGUCAUUUUUUUUUUUACCCUUGUUAUGCACUUGUCGUCAUAAUUUUUAUUUCGUUAUGCACAUGGAUUGAGCAUCUCUUUAACCCCUUAACGACAUGUGACAUAAAUUUGCGUCAACGAGAAGAUAUGGAGCUGUUGCAGAUUAUGUGUUUGUAUCGGGUCUUGAACGCUAUUAGACUUAUACACAGAAACCUUAUCAUUGCCUUAUAGGCUCAGCCUGAAAGGAUCAUGGAUCUUCUCUAGCGAUGUGAUUUUCCAUAAAAAUAC